GGAAUUGUUCGCAAUGGGCGAAAGCCUGACGACGCAACGCCGCGUGGAGGAUGAAGAAUUUCGGUUCGUAAACUCCUUUCGACCGAGAUGAAUAUCCAUCGAUUUAAUACGUCGAUGGACUGACAGUAUCGAGAGAAGAUGCCCCGGCUAACUCUGUGCCAGCAGCCGCGGUAAUACAGGGGGGGCAAGCGUUGUUCGGAAUUACUGGGCGUAAAGGGUUCGUAGGUGGCCAAUUAAGUCAGACGUGAAAUCCCUCAGCUUAACUGGGGAACUGCGUCUGAUACUGGUUGGCUUGAGUGCAGGAGAGGAAUGCGGAAUUCCAGGUGUAGCGGUGAAAUGCGUAGAUAUCUGGAGGAACACCGGUGGCGAAGGCGGCAUUCUGGACUGUAACUGACACUGAGGAACGAAAGCCAGGGGAGCAAAC
rnacentral:rRNA from 1 species